rnacentral:rRNA from 1 species
GAGCGAUGAANCCUUCGGGUGGAUUAGCGGCGGACGGGUGAGUAACACGUGGGUAACCUGCCUCAAAGAGGGGGAUAGCCUCCCGAAAGGGAUUUAAUACCGCAUAACAUUAUUUCUUCGCAUGAAGAGAUAAUCAAAGGAGUAAUCCGCUUUGAGAUGGACCCGCGGCGCAUUAGCUAGUUGGUGAGGUAAUGGCUCACCAAGGCGACGAUGCGUAGCGACCUGAGAGGGUGAUCGGCCACAUUGGAACUGAGAUACGGUCCAGACUCCUACGGGAGGCAGCAGUGGGGAAUAUUGCGCAAUGGGGGAAACCUGACGCAGCAACGCCGCGUGGGUGAAGAAGGCUUCGGGUUGUAAGCUCUGUCUUCUGGGACGAUAAUGACGGUACCAGAGGAGGAAGCCACGGCUAACUACGUGCCAGCAGCCGCGGUAAAUACGUAGGUGGCAAGCGUUGUCCGNNNUACUGGGCGUAAGGAGCGUAGCGGAUAUUAAGUCAGAUGUGAAAUACCCGAGCUUACUUGGGUGCUGCAUUUGAACUGGAUAUCUGGAGUGCAGGAGAGGAAGUGGAUUCCUAGUGUAGCGUGAAUGCGUAGAGAUUAGGAGACACAGUGCGAAGCGACUUUCUGGACUGUACUGACGCUGAGCUCGAAGCGUGGGGAGCAAACAGGGAUUAGAUACCCUGGUAGUCACGCGUAACGAUGAUACUAGGUGUAGAGUAUCGACCCUCUGUGCGCAGUUACACAAUAAGUAUCCGCUGGGAGUACGGUCGCAGAUUAAACUCAAGAAUUGACGGGCCGACAGCAGCGACAUGUGUUAAUUCGAGCACGCGAAGAGCCUUACCUAGACUGACAUCCCCUGAAUUACUCGUAACGGAGGAAAGCUUCGGGGCAGGGAGACAGGUGGUGCAUGGUUGUCGUCAGCUCGUGUCGUGAGAUGUUGGGUUAAGUCCCGCAACGAGCGCAACCCUUAUCAUUAGUUGCUACCAUUAAGUUGAGCACUCUAAUGAGACGGCCCGGGUUAACCGGGAGGAAGGUGGGGAUGACGUCAAAUCAUCAUGCCCCUUAUGUCUAGGGCUACACACGUGCUACAAUGGUUGGUACAAAGAGAUGCAAGACCGUGAGGUGGAGCAAAACUCAAAAACCAAUCCCAGUUCGGAUUGUAGGCUGAAACUCGCCUACAGGAAGCCGGAGUGGCUAGGAAUCGCGAAUCAGCAUGUCGCGGUGAAUACGGGCCCGGGCCUUGUACACACCGCCCGCACACCAUGAGAGUUGGCAACACCCGAAGGCCGUGAGGAACCGAAG